ACCGCCAGGCCGGCGGUGGUUCUAACAGAAACGACGUUUUAAAGCAAAGCAGUUUACAAAGCUUUAAAACUCGUAGGUUUCAUUUUGCCAUGGAUGGCAAAAUGAAACCGUUG
rnacentral:sRNA from 1 species